rnacentral:lncRNA from 1 species
CUCCCUCUGUAGCAUACCGGAUUUGUUUUAAUAAAAAGUGAAUAUAAAUAGAAAUAGUGUGAGUACUAUUUUUAUUGGAUUUAGACAGGUAAAUUAUACGUCAGGAUUGACUCGUGCGGAAAUCGGAGUGAAAAUAGAAGAUUGAGAAUUUUCUGUGAGAGACGGGGCUGAUAUUUUAGCAGAAAAUGCACAGUGUCAGAAAAUUCUGAAAUUUUGGGAAUAUGUUAGGAUUAUUUUUAUGAGGCUAGAUUUAAAGUUUCAUGCCAUUCUGACACUCGGAAGGUGGAAAAUUAAAUCCAACAGUUAUUUGAUAAAGAUUACAGUUUGGUACAGCUUUCGGUGACCAAACGGGGUCGAAACUGAAAGAUUAAAAUUUCUUUCGUUAAGUAAGGUUAAACUGAUCAUGACUGCCAAAUUUGAGCUCAAUCGGACGUUCAGAAGGGCGGACGAAAAAUAUCUGUACCUGAGCUACAAUCUGAUGUGAAUAGUGUUUUGGGAGUAUAUAUAUGUGAACUUGCACUCUUUUUCUCAUUUGUGCCCAACCCGAGAGAGACUUGGAGAGCAAGUUUCUUUUCUCUUUUUCUCUCUUUCUCUCUA